UUGGAGGGCAAGUCUGGUGCCAGCAGCCGCGGUAAUUCCAGCUCCAAUAGCGUAUAUUAAAGUUGUUGCAGUUAAAAAGCUCGUAGUUGAAUUUCGGGGUUCUACCGUUGGUCGGGCUUUGUCUGUACUGGUGUGUAGAAUUUCUACCUUCUGGGGAACCAUCAUGCUAUUAAUUUAGCGUGGUGGGAAACCAGGACCUUUACCUUGAAAAAAUUAGUGUGUUCAAAGCAGGCUUAUGUCUGAAUACAUUAGCGUGGAAUAAUAGAAUAGGACGGUGGUCCUGUUUUGUUGGUUUCUGAAUCACCGUAAUGAUUAAUAGGGAUAGUUGGGGGCAUUAGUAUUCAAUUGUCAGAGGUGAAAUUCUUGGAUUUAUUGAAGACUAACUUCUGCGAAAGCAUUUGCCAAGGAUGUUUUCAUUAAUCAAGAACGAAAGUUAGGGGAUCGAAGACGAUCAGAUACCGUCGUAGUCUUAACCAUAAACUAUGCCGACUAGGGAUCGGACGAUGUUAAUUUUUCUUGACUCGUUCGGCGCCU
rnacentral:rRNA from 1 species